CGGGCUGUAGCGCAGCUUGGUUAGCGCACUUGUCUGGGGGACAAGGGGUCGCAGGUUCAAAUCCUGUCAGCCCGACCA
rnacentral:tRNA from 1 species